AUUGAACGCUGGCGGCAGGCCUAACACAUGCAAGUCGAACGAGCGGCGGACGGGUGAGUAAUGUCUGGGAAACUGCCUGAUGGAGGGGGAUAACUACUGGAAACGGUAGCUAAUACCGCAUACCAUCGGAUGAGCCCAGAUGGGAUUAGCUUGUUGGGGGGGUAACGGCUCACCAAGGCGACGAUCCCUAGCUGGUUUGAGAGGAUGACCAGCCACACUGGAACUGGUACACGGUCCAGACUCCUACGGGAGGCAGCAGUGGGGAAUAUUGCACAAUGGGCGCAGGCCUGACGCAGCUAUGCCGCGUGUAUGAAGAAGGCCUUCGGGUUGUAAAGUACUUUCAGCGGGGAGGCGUUACCCGCAGAAGAAGCACCGGCUAACUCCGUGCCAGCAGCCGCGGUAAUAC
rnacentral:rRNA from 1 species